rnacentral:rRNA from 1 species
CGGCGGACGGGUGAGUAACGCGUGGGUAAUCUACCUCGUAGUUCGGGAUAACAGGUCGAAAGGCUUGCUAAUACCGGAUGAGUUCAUGCUUAUGCAUAUAGGCAUGAAGAAAGGGCUAGCCCGCUAUGAGAUGAGCCCGCGUCCCAUUAGCUUGUUGGUGGGGUAAUGGCCUACCAAGGCAACGAUGGGUAGCCGGCCUGAGAGGGUGUACGGCCACACUGGGACUGAGACACGGCCCAGACUCCUACGGGGGGCAGCAGUAGGGAAUUUUCGGCAAUGGGCGAAAGCCUGACCGAGCGACGCCGCGUGAGGGACGAAGGCCUUCGGGUUGUAAACCUCUGUCUGGGGGGAUGAGAACGGACGGUACCCCCGGAGGAAGCCCCGGCUAACUACGUGCCAGCAGCCGCGGUAAUACGUAGGGGGCUAGCGUUGUCCGGAAUUACUGGGCGUAAA